rnacentral:tRNA from 1 species
AUUUGGAUAGCUCAGUCGGUAGAGCAUGAGACUCUUAAUCUCAAGGCUGUGGGUUUGAGCCCCACCUCGGGCA